CCCCCUCCCCCCUCAUCCUCUAUUCACGUUCAAGGUUUAUCGGCGGGGUCACGUCCAUUGACGUCAUCUCGAGGCAUCGCUCGAGGUGGCUCCGGUCCAUGAUCCGGCCUCCACGCCGCGACAUCCUCCUCCUCCUCAUCCUCCUCCCGCUGGCACCAGCAUGUGCUACUAUGCAUAUAUAUGCAUAUACUGAUGCAUAUGUAAAGGUAUAUUUGCAUUAUUUUUAAUUUACUGGAAGUUACAGGCGAUCGCUUUUCCUAUGAUCUCUCCUUCAUGUCUAUUAUUACUGUUGUUGUUAUUGUUUAUUUUAUUUCAUUUCAUUUUACUUCAUUUUAUUUAUUUUAUUUUAUUUUAUUUUAUUUUAUUUUAUUUUAUUUUAUUUCAUUUUAUUUUAUUUUAUUUCAUUUCAUUUUAUUUCAUUUCAUUUUAUUUUAUUUCCCUUUUUUCUAUUCCCUUUUGUUUUGUUUUGGUUUUUUUUUGGCAAGGCUCUGCGUCUUUACCUUCAGUUUCCUCCUUUCUGUUUCUAUAAAUUUACAAAACACGCACAGUGCUAAUAUUACCAAUCCAGAUGCUCUACUGGGCCUUAAGAGGAGAGGAGGAUCUCCUUGCUCUGCUCGGCUGUCAUAUUGUCAGCUCGGAACUACAAGUUUGAUCGCCAAUUUAACUUUGUAUUAGGCAAAAGAAAACCCAGCCCCCACCGUUUCAAGGUAUAAAGGCGAUAUAGUUAUGCAUAGAUAGAUAAUGCGUGUAAUGGGGGCUGUGUCACAGAAUUCAUAAGAUCUCACUGCUGUAUUAUGGCCUGGGAGCGCAUUUAUAUCUACCUUGAUUUCAGGAACGUUUUAUUCCAAAAUCUUCUUUUAAAACACAUACCUCCAGGUUGGGAGAGCUGUCUCCGAGGAACACAACUGGUACAUUCUGCCUUAAGUGCCGCAUUAUUCAACUUGUCACCUCCCAUUUUAACGGGUGUAGCUUUAAACCCACCACCCGAUUCUUUACAGGGAAAAAAAGCAUUUUUACAGGUCAUUUAAAAAUACUGCCGGUAGCAUUAUGUUUGCUUCAUCCGAAAGAAUUCACAGGCCUUGAAUUACAUUGCAAACACCGAUAGCACAUCUCAGUUUACAUUAGUGGGGAAAUUCUUAGGAGGAAGAAGGGUGGUUUAAAUCUGAUUAAAACCAUCAGGUUACACUCUUUCUUAAGUUGUACAGGGGUGUUAUAUCUUUAAGCGAGCAAAGUUAUUCCAUGUAAAGGAAAACACCCGCCCUUACACACUUUAAAAUAUAUAUAUUAAUAUAUAUUUAAAGUAUAUGUUUUAUAAAUUAUAUAAUAAAUAUUACAUAUUAUAUAUUAUAUAUGUUACAUGUUACAUAUGUAAUAUAUAUAUAAAGGUCUAAAUACAUGCAUAGAUAAUUAUUUACGCUAGGAAUUACUUACCUGCAUGAACGUAUAGGGCAAGUUAGCCCUUCCCAAAGAAUGUCAUGCAUGUUUCUAUUUAUUUAUCUAUCAAUUCUUAACAUUUUAUAUAAUUAUUUUUAUAUAUUUAUUUUU
rnacentral:lncRNA from 1 species